rnacentral:misc_RNA from 1 species
GGCAUGAGAUACUGUGAGCUUGAGGUAUGUUUUUCUACUCUUUUAUCUGUCUCUAAGCUAAGGCUGAGCUUUGUAUGACUUGAUUAUUUUUGAAUUUGAGAUGCAUUUCUAUUUAAUGAGGCACUCUUCGCUUAGUGUUUAUCUGCUAACAGAAACUGAUGUCAUUACCUAUAUUAUGUUGUCUUAGAUGAUGCCCUAUUGU